rnacentral:rRNA from 1 species
CAGUAGCCACGGUAAUACGGAGGGUGCAAGCGUUAAUCGGAAUUACUGGGCGUAAAGCGCACGCAGGCGGUCUGACAAGUCAGAUGUGAAAUCCCCGGGCUUAACCUGGGAACUGCAUUUGAAACUGUCAGGCUGGAGUCUUGUAGAGGGGGGUGGAAUUCCAGGUGUAGCGGUGAAAUGCGUAGAGAUCUGGAGGAAUACCGGUGGCGAAGGCGGCCCCCUGGACAAAGACUGACGCUCAGGUGCGAAAGCGUGGGGAGCAAACAGGAUUAGAUACCCCCGUAGUCCUGUCUCUUAUACA